AAGACCUUGCGCUUUUGGAGCGGCCGAUGUCUGAUUAGCUUGUUGGUAAGGUAAAAGCUUACCAAGGCUUCGAUCAGUAGCUGGUCUGAGAGGACGACCAGCCACACUGGGACUGAGACACGGCCCAGACUCCUACGGGAGGCAGCAGUGGGGAAUUUUGGACAAUGGGGGCAACCCUGAUCCAGCCAUGCCGCGUGAGUGAAGAAGGCCUUCGGGUUGUAAAGCUCUUUCAGCCGGAACGAAACGGUUACGGUUAAUACCCGUGACUACUGACGGUACCGGAAGAAGAAGCACCGGCUAACUACGUGCCAGCAGCCGCGGUAAUACGUAGGGUGCAAGCGUUAAUCGGAAUUACUGGGCGUAAAGCGUGCGCAGGUGGUUUUGUAAGUCAGAUGUGAAAUCCCCGGGCUUAACCUGGGGAACU
rnacentral:rRNA from 1 species